ACGGAAGGCAGCAGUGGGGGAUAUUGCACAAUGGGGGAAACCCUGAUGCAGCGACGCCGCGUGAGUGAUGAAGUAUUUCGGUAUGUAAAGCUCUAUCAGCAGGGAAGAAAAUGACGGUACCUGACUAAGAAGCACCGGCUAAAUACGUGCCAGCAGCCGCGGUAAUACGUAUGGUGCAAGCGUUAUCCGGAUUUACUGGGUGUAAAGGGAGCGUAGACGGCUUUGCAAGUCUGAAGUGAAAGCCCGGGGCUCAACCCCGGAACUGCUUUGGAAACUGUAGAGCUAGAGUGCAGGAGAGGUAAGUGGAAUUCCUAGUGUAGCGGUGAAAUGCGUAGAUAUUAGGAGGAACACCAGUGGCGAAGGCGGCUUACUGGGCUGUAACUGACGUUGAGGCUCGAAGGCGUGGGGAGCAAACAGGAUUAGAUACCCUGGUA
rnacentral:rRNA from 1 species